rnacentral:lncRNA from 1 species
GCUCUGUGGGGGAUCAAUCAUUGCUCCUACGAUGGUGGUGCAGGUUGCUUUGUAGGGUUGGCUGGCUGCGGCUUUGCCACCAGUGCAGUGUUGGUCGGCUGCACAGCUGUUGCUAUCGGUGCAGUGUUGAUUUGCUACAUCGAUGCCGCCGCAGUCGGUGCAACAUGGAGUUGCUGCAUUGCCUGGAUGGUGGUGGUCAAGGCCUGCACCUACUAACAUAG